rnacentral:rRNA from 1 species
UACUAACGACGUAGGCGAAGUCCGUUAGCCCGUAAGGACUAGGAACUUUUAGUCGACGUAGUUACUACGUAAAUGAAACGACGAGGUACGACGCGACGGCGGACGACGGGUGAGUAACACGUGGGGAACCUGCCCCAUAGUCUGGGAUACCACUUGGAAACAGGUGCUAAUACCGGAUAAGAAAGCAGAUCGCAUGAUCAGCUUAUAAAAGGCGGCGUAAGCUGUCGCUAUGGGAUGGCCCCGCGGUGCAUUAGCUAGUUGGUAAGGUAACGGCUUACCAAGGCGAUGAUGCAUAGCCGAGUUGAGAGACUGAUCGGCCACAUUGGGACUGAGACACGGCCCAAACUCCUACGGGAGGCAGCAGUAGGGAAUCUUCCACAAUGGACGCAAGUCUGAUGGAGCAACGCCGCGUGAGUGAAGAAGGUUUUCGGAUCGUAAAGCUCUGUUGUUGGUGAAGAAGGAUAGAGGUAGUAACUGGCCUUUAUUUGACGGUAAUCAACCAGAAAGUCACGGCUAACUACGUGCCAGCAGCCGCGGUAA